CCUACGGGGGGCAGCAGUAGGGAAUCUUCCACAAUGGGCGAAAGCCUGAUGGAGCAACGCCGCGUGGGUGAAGAAGGUCUUCGGAUCGUAAAACCCUGUUGUUAGAGAAGAAAGUGCGUGAGAGUAACUGUUCACGUUUCGACGGUAUCUAACCAGAAAGCCACGGCUAACUACGUGCCAGCAGCCGCGGUAAUACGUAGGUGGCAAGCGUUAUCCGGAUUUAUUGGGCGUAAAGGGAACGCAGGCGGUCUUUUAAGUCUGAUGUGAAAGCCUUCGGCUUAACCGGAGUAGUGCAUUGGAAACUGGGAGACUUGAGUGCAGAAGAGGAGAGUGGAACUCCAUGUGUAGCGGUGAAAUGCGUAGAUAUAUGGAAGAACACCAGUGGCGAAAGCGGCUCUCUGGUCUGUAACUGACGCUGAGGUUCGAAAGCGUGGGUAGC
rnacentral:rRNA from 1 species